AAUGCUUAGGAAUCUGCCUAUUAGUGGGGGACAACGUUCCGAAAGGAACGCUAAUACCGCAUACGCCCUAAGGGGGAAAGCAGGGGAUCUUCGGACCUUGCGCUAAUAGAUGAGCCUAAGUCAGAUUAGCUAGUUGGUGGGGUAAAGGCCUACCAAGGCGACGAUCUGUAGCGGGUCUGAGAGGAUGAUCCGCCACACUGGGACUGAGACACGGCCCAGACUCCUACGGGAGGCAGCAGUGGGGAAUAUUGGACAAUGGGGGGAACCCUGAUCCAGCCAUGCCGCGUGUGUGAAGAAGGUCUUUUGGUUGUAAAGCACUUUAAGCGAGGAGGAGGCUACUAGUAUUAAUACUACUGGAUAGUGGACGUUACUCGCAGAAUAAGCACCGGCUAACUCUGUGCCAGCAGCCGCGGUAAUACAGAGGGUGCGAGCGUUAAUCGGAUUUACUGGGCGUAAAGCGUGCGUAGGUGGCCAAUUAAGUCAAAUGUGAAAUCCCCGAGCUUAACUUGGGAAUUGCAUUCGAUACUGGUUGGCUAGAGUAUGGGAGAGGAUGGUAGAAUUCCAGGUGUAGCGGUGAAAUGCGUAGAGAUCUGGAGG
rnacentral:rRNA from 1 species